rnacentral:rRNA from 1 species
GAUGAACGCUGGCGGCGUGCCCAAUACAUGCAAGUAGAGCGAAGCGGGGACGGGUGAGUAACACGUGGAUAACCUCCUAUAAGACUGGGAUAACUUCGGGAAACCGGAGCUAAACCGGAUACUUAUAGAUGGAUCCGCGCUGCAUGAUCUAUUUGGUAAGGUAACGGCUUACCAAGGCAACGAUGCAUAGCCGACCUGACAGGAUGAUCGGCUACACGAGAACUAAGACACUGACCAGACUCCUCCGGUAGGCCGCAGCAGGGAAUCUUCGGCAAUGGGCGAAAGCCUUACGGUGCAGCGCCACGUGAGUGAUACAGUUCAUCAGAGCGUAAACCUCUGUUAUUAUGGAAGCGUUACCUAAUCAGAAAGCCACGGCUAACUACGUGCCAGCCGCCGCGGUAAUUC